rnacentral:rRNA from 1 species
UGGGGAAUCUUGGACAAUGGGGGCAACCCUGAUCCAGCCAUGCCGCGUGAGUGAUGAAGGCCUUAGGGUCGUAAAGCUCUUUCGCCUGUGAAGAUAAUGACGGUAGCAGGUAAAGAAACCCCGGCUAACUCCGUGCCAGCAGCCGCGGUAAUACGGAGGGGGUUAGCGUUGUUCGGAAUUACUGGGCGUAAAGCGCACGUAGGCGGACCAGAAAGUUGGGGGUGAAAUCCCGGGGGCUCAACCCCGGAACUGCCUCCAAAACUAUUGGUCUAGAGUUCGAGAGAGGUGAGUGGAAUUCCAAGUGUAGAGGUGAAAUUCGUAGAUAUUUGGAGGAACACCAGUGGCGAAGGCGGCUCACUGGCUCGAUACUGACGCUGAGGUGCGAAAGUGUGGGGAGCAAACAGGAUUAGAUACCCUGGGUAGUCCACACCGUAAAACGAUGAAUGCCAGUCGUCGGGUAGCAUGCUAUUCGGUGACACACCUAACGGAUUAAGCAUUCCGCCUGGGGAGUACGGUCGCAAGAUUAAAACUCAAAUGAAUUG